rnacentral:sRNA from 1 species
UUGAGAUGUGUGAGCCACCCUGGAGAUCAUAUCGAGCGAAUCAAACGACGAAAAAGUCUCCAACGUGCAUACUUCCAUUUGCAUGUUGUGUGAGCCACAUGGAAACUCGUACACACGUGGUGGCAGCCGUCUGCUGUGCUUUUUUUAGGCAGACAAUGGCUUACGAGUGGCCGUGUGCUUGUUGAACAACGGUGACCAAUUUGGCGUCUACGCCGUAUCUAGCUUCUGCCUGGACCGUCAGUUGCGAUGAAAGAUGCGGAGAAAGUUCCUUUGUUUUGGCUGCUAAUCAUCAUUGAUGAGCAGUAGCUUAAGGCAGAGUUGAGCAGACUUAAUGAGCCACGCUAGGUGGCCGCCAAAACCCAAAACACAACCGGUCUAUUUGACAUUGUUAUUUCAUUGUAUGUGUUGAAAAUGUACAAAUCUUGGCGGUGGAUCACUCGGUUCGUGGAUCGAUGAAGAACGCAGCCAGCUGCGAUAAAUAGUGCGAAUUGCAGACACAUUGAGCACUAAGAAUUCGAACGCACAUUGCGCUAUCGGGUUCAUUCCCGAUGGCACGUCUGGCUGAGGGUCGAAUUACGGUGAACUGUCUUCACGGUUUUUCUGGACUGUGAAGCAUUCGGCAAGCAAUUGCUGUUGUGUUGUUGGUGAUUCUAUCAUGGACAAUAUGACGAGCGGUUCCUUGCUUAGUGAUGACAAAAGAAGACGUCAACACCGAAUCUACUAUACUACUAAUACUAGUAUAUAGGUGAGGUGCUUUUGGUGGUCACAAAAGUGACAAGUAUGCCAUUUCAUAGGGGCAACAACCAGCAUACGUGAUAAGUUGGCUGGUUGAUGAAACGGCAACGGAAUGACGGACGUCUAUGUGAUCAAAAAUGAUACUAUUGACCUCAGCUCAGUCGUGAUUCCCCGGCUUAUUAA